rnacentral:rRNA from 1 species
AGUGAACGCUGGCGGUAGGCCUAACACAUGCAAGUCGAACGGCAGCACAGUAAGAGCUUGCUCUUACGGGUGGCGAGUGGCGGACGGGUGAGGAAUACAUCGGAAUCUACUUUUUCGUGGGGGAUAACGUAGGGAAACUUACGCUAAUACCGCAUAUGACCUACGGGUGAAAGCAGGGGAUCUUCGGACCUUGCGCGAUUCAAUGAGCCGAUGUCGGAUUAGCUAGUUGGCGGGGUAAAGGCCCACCAAGGCGACGAUCCGUAGCUGGUCUGAGAGGAUGAUCGGCCACACUGGAACUGAGACACGGUCCAGACUCCUACGGGAGGCAGCAGUGGGGAAUAUUGGACAAUGGGCGCAAGCCUGAUCCAGCCAUGCCGCGUGGGUGAAGAAGGCCUUCGGGUUGUAAAGCCCUUUUGUUGGGAAAGAAAAGCAGCAGGUUAAUACCCCGCUGUUCUGACGGUACCCAAAGAAUAAGCACCGGCUAACUUCGUG